AUACGUAGGGUGCAAGCGUUAAUCGGAAUUACUGGGCGUAAAGCGUGCGCAGGCGGUUUUGUAAGACAGAGGUGAAAUCCCCGGGCUCCACCUGGGAACUGCCUUUGUGACUGCAAGGCUAGAGUACGGCAGAGGGGGAUGGAAUUUCGCGUGUAGCAGUGAAAUGCGUAGAUAUGCGGAGGAACUCCGAUGGCGAAGGCAAUCCCCUGGGCCUGUACUGACGCUCAUGCACGAAAGCGUGGGGAGCAAACAGGAUUAGAUACCCUGGUAGUCCACGCCCUAAACGAUGUCAACUGGUUGGUGGGUCUGCAUUGACGCAGUAACGAAGCUAACGCGUGAAGUUGACCGCCUGGGGAGUACGGCCGCAAGGUUGAAACUUAAAGGAAUUGACGGGG
rnacentral:rRNA from 1 species